AGUGAACGCUGGCGGUAGGCCUAACACAUGCAAGUCGAACGGCAGCACAGUAAGAGCUUGCUCUUACGGGUGGCGAGUGGCGGGCGGGUGAGGAAUACAUCGGAAUCUACUUUUUCGUGGGGGAUAACGUAGGGAGACUUACGCUAAUACCGCAUACGACCUACGGGUGAAAGCAGGGGAUCUUCGGACCUUGCGCGAUUGAAUGAGCCGAUGUCGGAUUAGCUAGUUGGCGGGGUAAAGGCCCACCAAGGCGACGAUCCGUAGCUGGUCUGAGAGGAUGAUCAGCCACACUGGAACUGAGACACGGUCCAGACUCCUACGGGAGGCAGCAGUGGGGAAUAUUGGACAAUGGGCGCAAGCCUGAUCCAGCCAUACCGCGUGGGUGAAGAAGGCCUUCGGGUUGUAAAGCCCUUUUGUUGGGAAAGAAAAGCAGCAGGUUAAUACCCCGCUGUUCUGACGGUACCCAAAGAAUAAGCACCGGCUAACUUCGUG
rnacentral:rRNA from 1 species